rnacentral:rRNA from 1 species
GAUGAACGCUGGCGGCGUGCCUAACACAUGCAAGUCGAGCGAACCCUUCGGGGUGAGCGGCGGACAGGUGAGUAACACGUGGGUAACCUGCCCUAUACACACGGAUAACGUACCGAAAGGUACGCUAAUACGGGAUAAUAUUGUUGGAUGGCAUCUUCUAACAAUCAAAGCUCCGGCGGUAUAGGAUGGACCCGCGUCUGAUUAGCUAGUUGGUGAGGUAAUGGCUCACCAAGGCGACGAUCAGUAGCCGACCUGAGAGGGUGAUCGGCCACACUGGAACUGAGACACGGUCCAGACUCCUACGGGAGGCAGCAGUGGGGAAUAUUGCACAAUGGGCGAAAGCCUGAUGCAGCAACGCCGCGUGAGCGAUGAAGGUCUUCGGAUCGUAAAGCUCUGUCCUCAAGGAAGAUAAUGACGGUACUUGAGGAGGAAGCCCCGGCUAACUACGUACCAGCCGCCGCAGUAA